AUACUUACCUGGCAGGGAAGGAACCAUGAUCAUGAAGGUGGGUUUUCCCAGGGUAAGGCUUAUUCAUUGUACUAUGAAUGUGCUGACCUCUGCAAUUUCCUCAAAUGUGGGAAACUUGACUACAUAAUUUGUGGUAGUGGGGCACUGCGUUCAAGCUCUCCCCUA